rnacentral:rRNA from 1 species
AUGGCACCCCUCAAUCUUUCGCCAUGCGCCUCCUCCCACCUUGGCUUCUUUCUUCUUUCUGCUAUGGCGAGAGGGCGUGCCAGUGCUUUGAUGGUGGCGAUGAGGGUCUCCGCUCGACAACGCGCCCCUCCUUCCCAAGAGUUUGUGGCGGCGGAGCCGACCACAAGGGGAAGGGGGAGGGGGCAAGGCCGAGGUCGCCGUGGCGCUCGGGGAAGAGGAGGACGGGCAGCGCACCGGCUUCGCCUCCGCCAGCGGUCCCUUCCCCAAUGGAGGGCCACGUCGGGGAUGAGCCUCGCGAAUUCUUCAUCAGGCUACGCCGGCCAGCGCAUCGUCGUCUUCGUCUCCCUACUCCAUUUGCUCGGGAGAUGA